AUUGAACGCUGGCGGCAGGCUUAACACAUGCAAGUCGAGCGGGGGAAGGUAGCUUGCUACCGGACCUAGCGGCGGACGGGUGAGUAAUGCUUAGGAAUCUGCCUAUUAGUGGGGGAUAACAUUCCGAAAGGAAUGCUAAUACCGCAUACGUCCUACGGGAGAAAGCAGGGGAUCUUCGGACCUUGCGCUAAUAGAUGAGCCUAAGUCGGAUUAGCGAGUUGGUGGGGUAAAGGCCUACCAGGGCGACGAUCUGUAGCGGGUCGGAGAGGAUGACACGCCACACUGGAACUGAGACACGGCCCAGACUCCUACGGGAGGCAGCAGUGGGGAAUAUUGGACAAUGGGGGAAACCCUGAUCCAGCCAUGCCGCGUGUGUGAAGAAGGCCUUAUGGUUGUAAAGCACUUUAAGCGAGGAGGAGGCUACUGAGAUUAAUACUCUUGGAUAGUGGACGUUACUCGCAGAAUAAGCACCGGCUAACUCUGUGCCAGCAGCCGCCGUAA
rnacentral:rRNA from 1 species